rnacentral:miRNA from 1 species
UAGGCUUUAUCCAUGGUUGGAA